CCUACGGGCGGCAGCAGUCGGGAAUAUUGCACAAUGGGGGAAACCCUGAUGCAGCGACGCCGCGUGAGUGAAGAAGUAUUUCGGUAUGUAAAGCUCUAUCAGCAGGGAAGAAAAUGACGGUACCUGAUUAAGAAGCCCCGGCUAACUACGUGCCAGCAGCCGCGGUAAUACGUAGGGGGCAAGCGUUAUCCGGAUUUACUGGGUGUAAAGGGAGCGUAGACGGGAGCACAAGUUUGGGGUGAAAUGCCGGGGCUUAACCCCGGAACUGCAUUGGAAACUGAGCUGCUGGAGUGCAGGAGAGGAAAGUGGAAUUCCUAGUGUAGCGGUGAAAUGCGUAGAUAUUAGGAGGAACACCAGUGGCGAAGGCGACUUACUGGACUGUAACUGACGUUGAGGCUCGAAAGCGUGGGGAGCAAACAGGAUUAGAUACCCGUGUAGUC
rnacentral:rRNA from 1 species